rnacentral:misc_RNA from 1 species
GCCAGUGUAGUUUAAGCUUUUAGUUAGUGACGGUGUCUCUCACGCGGAGGACCCUAUUACAUCCAGGAAAAUCAACACUUUUUUCAACGUAACAUCUUUAAACUUGCCGAUCAUGCAAAAUCGUCCAUACGAAAUUGAGACGAUGACGAGCCUAUCUGCGAGAGACACCGUCAAAUCGAUCAAUUCGACUAACUCAACGACGAACGGGGAAUUUUCCGCGAUGAUAAUUCCCAACGAUCCACGUCUUCAGUGUAAUAGAAAACGAAGACGAUUGGAUAUUUCGGCAACUGCCACGGUAAUUCCCCAAAAGACGCUACGACGCAACGAACAGGAUGAUGACAAUGGCUACGAUAAUACUAACAAUAUUCUUCCCGUCAAUUAUUAUGAAAAUUUACGAACGGUUAAGCGUGAGAACAAGAAGUUUAAUAAAAGAUUGCCAGACAAGGUAGACGAAAGAGAAUGCCAAGAGAAAAGACAGAUUGAAAACGAUACUACUUGUGUUAAUGUUAACAUAAAGAGAAAGAAACAGGAACAGGAUACAUCAAUAAGAAGACUCGUCAAUUCGAAUAAUAACGUUAAAGACGAGUAUUCUAGAUUGAGAAAAACAAUCCAAUGGCUCGAAGAAGGUGCUCGUAGAUUACGAGAGGAUCUUGCUAAUGCAAGAACAGAAUUGCACGAGGAAAGAAGGGCAGCAAAGUUAGUCAAAAGAGAAAUCGAAACGGCCAUUAGGGAAGCAAAGGCCACAGAAGCUACCAAGUAUCAACUUAUCAUCUCGGAAUUAAAGACCAGACUGUCUCGUGGCAGCUCGGCAGAAUCGAAUUGCACGUCGCCGUUGCCGUCGUCGUCGUCGUCGUUGCCGUCGUCGUCGUCGUCGUCGAAGGUGGACCUCGUAAAAGAAGAUAAUCGAAAACGUGAGAUAUCGGCAAUGAAGAAGAGGCUCGUCGAAUCUGAAAAUACGAUUAGAAAGCUCAAGUUGGAUAGUUUGAAUUUGCAACAGGGAAAAGUUGCUGCCCACCCCUGCAAACUCGAUGGAUCGACUUGUGCCGAGGUCCGACGCCUUCAAAAUGAAAUUCACGCGUUACGCGCGAAUAACGAUAAACUCGAGACGAAAUUACGCAUCGCAACAGAUGCUGAAAAAGCUCGAGCGGCCGAAUUACGGAUUCAACAUGAGAAUCAUGAGGCCGAACUCGCUGCAUUACGAAAAUCUUUGAGAAGCGAAACGAUUAAAAUGAUGGACGAAAUGCGAGGAAAGAGUCGCGAGAUCGAGAAGCUUUCGAAGUUACUUCAAACUGAGAACUCCCGGAAACAAAGAAAGAUGCACCAAAAAGACGAAUCAUCAUCGAUGCGGAAGUUACAGGACAGCGAGAAAAACGGACCGAUUCGGUCGACAUCUCGCGGAGAGAAGAAAUUCCUUGUGGAGGAUCAUCAUACCUUGGGUACGUACAUUCGCGAAGUUGGUUGCGACAGAGCCAUAGAAGAAAUCGAGGUCGAGCGCCUCCGUGAGCUUGCACUCGAACAACAAGAAGUCAUCGAGAUACUUAGACAGACGGUCAAGGAAAAAGAACGAAAGCUCGAGCAGCUGUCGAACAAGAAAAGGAAAGAGGAAUUCUAUAGGCAAUGGUUGGAGCUCGAGCCAGUGGCCGAGGUCGACGAUGAAGAGGAUCACGAGGAAGGUGACAGUGCCCUUUCUAGUGCACCAUCAUCCCUUUCUCCUCAGCCAGGUGGUUGUGGACAAUGGCAGGGGUCAGGUGUCACCCGAGAAGCCUACGAAGCUGUUCUCAUAGAAAUCGAGGAACUCCAAUCAAAAUUAUUAGAUGAACGUCAAGAAUUGUCUCGUGCUAAGACCGAAGUUCUCGAUCUUGAAAAAGCUCUUUUGCAAGAGACAAGAUGUAGCAAUCGUAAUAAACAAUUGGAAGAACUGAACGAGAAGUUGCGAGCAACAGAAGAACGUGAAGCUAAUCUCCUUGUGGAAUUGUCCGAGUUGAGAGAACAAAACGAACUUUUAGAAUUCAGACUUCUCGAACUGGAAGAAUCAACCACUCGUAAAGAGAAUCCUGAUCACGCGGCUGAUAGCGGCAUUGUCUCGCCGGAACUAUUACAUCCGAGCAAGGAUCAAGUAAUAAGCAAGCAAAGAAAUCGUGCAGUGGCUACAGUGAUUCCAUAUACAAACAAUAAUAAUUACACUACUACUACAACGACGACACGUACGAUUUCUCCUGUACCACGAAAAGCACCAUUGUCUCUUCAAGAAAGUGGUAUAUUCGAAGAGGAGGAUGAAGAGGGCUUAGAAGUCGAACUAGCGAGUAAAGGAACCCAAACGGAGAUACCUUCCGGUGAACUUCUUCAAGAGGUUCAACGUCUUCAAGAACUUCGUGCACGGAUUCAAGAACGUGCAGCUAAAGUAACAAACACAGCUACGACAAUAUGUUCGAUCGAUACAUCUAAAGCCUGUCCGGCACUUGACACGGACGUUGAUUCGAUCGUUCAAUUGUCCUCCUAUCAAGAUCGUAUAAGAGAUUUGGAAGAUAGAUUAGAGGCUUACGAAGAGGCUGAAGAAAGGCAAACGGAGGAGAGACGAGUGACGAAGCAAAGGGAAGAAGAAUUGCUUGAUGAAAAUUACAGGUUAACCGAGAGGGUUUAUUGGCUUGAGAAUAAAUUACAUAACGUUGAGGAACUCAUUGAGAAUAGAAGCAGAAGUAGAAGUAACGAUAGAAGGAUUAUUCGUGAUGACAAUGAAUACGACAAAAUGGAAAAUGAUAAACAAUGCGACUGUCAAGUUUUUCAAAAUUACCAAGAAGUUCAACGAAAGACAAAAGGUGAAAACGUAACGUUCGAAAUAAUGGAGGACAUAUUGAAUCGUUCGAAAGAAGUUCAAACGACUGUUAUCGAAUCAAUUGAAGAUUGUUGUUCAUGUUGCCGAAUGUGUGAGAUUAACAAAAGAACGGAACAACCUCAGGAAUGGAUCGCACCGGAAACACGUCGUGUUAUGGUGGAAGUUGUUCAAAAUUGUACGGAGGAAAUGGUCGAGGAAGUAGCGCGGGAGGCCAAAGAAGAUGAAAAUGACGUUGACGAGGUUGACGAGGUUGAUGCAUCUGAGAAAAAUGAGAACGAUGAGCACGUAGAAAGAAGAAAAAGAAGAAGAAGAAGAAGAAGCAUCACGGAAGUUGCCGCGGGGAAUUUGGAGGAGAACAACGACGAGCCGAUAAAUUCGGUCGUUCAUUUAAACGACGAAUUGGAAUCCAAAAAGAAGGUGAUCUACUUUCGCUGGAGGUGAAAAUCCUUUCGUUUCUUGUCGGUGUAGAAGAGACUAUUCGUAUGCGCGUUUAUACUCAACAACAUUACAAGUACCACGAUAUGAUCGAUAAACUUCACCGUUGAUCUCUCAAUGCAUUAGCAAGGACAAAAUAGCUGGCGUUGCUUGACACCGGCUAAGCAUCGACCAGAAUUUGUUUCUGAGGGAAAAGAACAAUGGAGUCAUCUCGUCAUCUCGUUGUGUACCAUCGAAAUAAACCAACUGCCAACAAGAAGAAAAUCAAAGGACCCUUCUGUCAGUGCCAAAAUGAAUAUAAUCUGAUUAUUAUAAACAAAAUCAAAUAUUAGGUUGAAUGAACUUUGAUCUGCAUUUGAUCGAAAGAUAAAUAUUUUUUGAUAUACAACAAGCAGAGGUCGCCAAAGUGAUGGUCCACGGAUCACUAGUGAUUAAGUCAUGUUAUGUUUUAACACUAGAUUUACAGGCAUUGCCUGUAUACCUUUUUUUUUACUGAAAUCCAUCUUUUUGAAGGGUAUGUUAACACUAAUCUAAAUUUGUUCGUGUCGCGCCGGUGGAACUGACUUACAUAAUUUCGCUUAUCGCCGGUGGUUUAAUUUCAUUUUAAUUAAUUAAUUAUUAUUUAAUUAAUAAACGCCGAAGUGCGGCCAUUAAAGUGUUAACUUUCGUUCUACAGUUUUGAAUAUCACAAUAAAACCAUCGGCUCUUGCGCGAUAAUUUUUGCAUGGCACCAACGUAGAGCUACCGACACUUACGCGAUAAUUUUUGCAUGGCACCAACGUUAAGCCAGUGGCACUUACCCAAUAGUUUUUCACAUGGCACAAACGUGGAGCCACCAGCACUUACGCGAUAAUUUCCAAAUGGCACCAAUGUGGAGCCACCGGCAUUUACCCAAUAAUUUUUGCAUGGCACCAGUGUGGAGUCACCGGCACUUACUCGAUAGUUUCCGCAUGGCACCAACGUGGAGCUACCGGUACUUACGCGAUAGUUUCCGCAUGGCACCAACGUGGAGCCACCGGCACUUACCCAAUAGUUUUCACAUGGCACCAACGUGGAACCACCAGCACUUACGCGAUAAUUUCCGAAUGGCAACAACGUGGAGCCACCGGCACACCCGAUAAUUUUUGCAUGGCAACAACGUGGAGCCACCGACACUUACGCGAUAGUUUUCGCAUGACACCAAGGUGGAGCCACUGUUACUUACCCAAUAGUUUUUCACAUGGCACAAACGUGGAGCCAUCGGACGUCAUAGUGUUAAUAGUUUCAUUUUAUUAACUAAAUACAUUUUAUCUGUUCUUAGAUCACAAUUUUGUUUAUAAAUAUAUUUAAUUAACACUUAAAAAAUCCUAUUAGUGGUCAGCAAGAUUUAAAUGAUGAAUUUACUGGUCCGUGUGAUCAAAAAGUUUGGCGACCACUGCAAUAAAUAUCACUUAAAAAGAAAGAAAGAAGUAAAAUCGAUCCUUGCCAUUCUUAAUCCUCGCCUUUUAACAUAAACAAUUUCCGCGAAUUAUAUUUACCGAAAUAGUAAUCCUCAAUGUAAAACGAUUUUAUAAAAUACGAAUCGAAACGAAUUUGAAAAUCUUAACGAUAAUCUUCGUAUACAUUUA